AGAGUUGAUCAUGGCUCAGGAUGAACGCUAGCUACAGGCUUAACACAUGCAAGUCGAGGGGCAGCAUGAACUUAGCUGCUAAGUUGAUGGCGACCGGCGCACGGGUGAGUAACGCGUAUCCAACCUGGCCCUUAGUAGGGGAUAGCCCGGCGAAAGUCGGAUUAAUACCCUAUGUUUUUCCUUUGAUGGCAUCCGAUGAGGAACAAAGAUUCAUCGCUAAGGGAUGGGGAUGCGUCCGAUUAGGUUGACGGCGGGGUGACGGCCCACCGUGCCCGCGAUCGGUAGGGGUUCUGAGAGGAAGGUCCCCCACAUUGGAACUGAGACACGGUCCAAACUCCUACGGGAGGCAGCAGUGAGGAAUAUUGGUCAAUGGAGGCAACUCUGAACCAGCCAAGUAGCGUGAGGGAUGACGGCCCUACGGGUUGUAAACCUCUUUUGCAGGGGAAUAAAGUGUGCCACGUGUGGUGUUUUGUAUGUACCCUGAGAAUAAGGACCGGCUAAUUCCGUGCCAGCAGCUGC
rnacentral:rRNA from 1 species